rnacentral:rRNA from 1 species
AUACGUAGGCAGCAAGCGUUGUUCGGAGUUACUGGGCGUAAAGAGUGCGUAGGCGGUCCUCUAAGUUCGGUGUGAAAUCUCCCGGCUCAACUGGGAGGGUGCGCCGGAAACUGGAGGGCUUGAGUAUGGGAGAGGAAAGCGGAAUUCCUGGUGUAGCGGUGAAAUGCGUAGAUAUCAGGAGGAACACCUGUGGUGUAGACGGCUUUCUGGACCAUGACUGACGCUGAGGCACGAAAGCGUGGGGAGC